rnacentral:rRNA from 1 species
AUGGCCACGACGCCGGAGGGGCUACAGAAGGCCCUGGAGGAUGCGCUGGCCGAGAUAAACGCGAUGCGGCUGGAGGUGGAGGCGACCAAGGCGGAGUUGGCGGCGGAGAAAGAGAAGCUGGGACUGGUACCGGCGGCGACGGCACUGCCGGUGAGGUCCCGGGCGCCCAUCAACUACCCACAGCUCACACGCAGCAACUACACACUCUGGGCGAUCCAGAUGCAUGUGGCGAUGCAGUCGGCAGGAGUUUGGGCGGCGACGAGCUCCGAGGACGUCGACCACGAGAUGGACCGCGACGCCCUCCUCGCCAUCUAUCAGGGGACCUUGCGGAAGGCGUUCGAAGCUUUGGAGAUGGAGGACACGGAGGCGGUGGACGCGUUCGCGACGAGGCUGAACAGGAUGGUGUCGUCCAUCCGAGCGCUCGGCGACGAGGUUAAGGAGCUGACGGUGGUCCAGAAAAUUCUCCAAGCUGCGCCGGCGAGGUUUAUGCACUUGGUAACCUCGCUGGAGCAGUGUGUCGACUUGAAGACGCUCACCGUCGAGGACCUGUUUGGCCGGUUCAAGGCGCACGAGGAGCACGUGCGUAUGCGCUUCGGCAGUCCCGUCGACGGGCAGCAUCUAAUGUUGUCCAUCAAGCUGUGGGAGGCGUGGUCGUCGAGGAAGUCGAGCGGCGGUGCUGAAACCUCGAGCAGCGGCGGAAAAAGUGAUGGCGGUAGUAGUCGCGGCGCCAACCGCGGCAAGGCUGCAAAGAAGCCACCACAAGCUGCAAAAGUGCAAGGUAAUGAAGAAGAGGAGAGAGUGUUUCUGCAAGAGGUGAAUGUGAAACCAAAAUUAGGAGAUAAUGCAGGAGAAGAAUCAGAUAAGUGGUACCUUGAUACAGAAGUAGACAAUUCCACCUCUGUUGCUCCACUACAGAUUCAAAUUGAAGAACACGCAGCUCAGGCACCAGGAUCAGGGGGUAUGGGAACUCCAGGAAAUUCAGCUGUGUUGGCUGAUGCAGGAAGCAUAGCCACAAAUCAAAAAUGUGUUCUCUUGAUGAAUUGUAUGAUGAGACAUCUCCAAGCUGGACUCCUAUUGAUAUGGAUCAUGUCCAGCAGCUAG